rnacentral:rRNA from 1 species
AUGAACGCUGGCGGCGUGCCUAAUACAUGCAAGUCGAGCGAACAGACGAGGAGCUUGCUCCCCUGACGUUAGCGGCGGACGGGUGAGUAACACGUGGAUAACCUACCUAUAAGACUGGGAUAACUUCGGGAAACCGGAGCUAAUACCGGAUAAUAUAUUGAACCGCAUGGUUCAAUAGUGAAAGACGGUUUUGCUGUCACUUAUAGAUGGAUCCGCGCCGCAUUAGCUAGUUGGUAAGGUAACGGCUUACCAAGGCGACGAUGCGUAGCCGACCUGAGAGGGUGAUCGGCCACACUGGAACUGAGACACGGUCCAGACUCCUACGGGAGGCAGCAGUAGGGAAUCUUCCGCAAUGGGCGAAAGCCUGACGGAGCAACGCCGCGUGAGUGAUGAAGGUCUUCGGAUCGUAAAACUCUGUUAUUAGGGAAGAACAAAUGUGUAAGUAACUAUGCACGUCUUGACGGUACCUAAUCAGAAAGCCACGGCUAACUACGUG